rnacentral:rRNA from 2 species
UGGGGAAUAUUGGACAAUGGGCGAAAGCCUGAUCCAGCCAUGCCGCGUGUGUGAAGAAGGCCUUUUGGUUGUAAAGCACUUUAAGCGAGGAGGAGGCUACUUGGAUUAAUACUCUAGGAUAGUGGACGUUACUCGCAGAAUAAGCACCGGCUAACUCUGUGCCAGCAGCCGCGGUAAUACAGAGGGUGCGAGCGUUAAUCGGAUUUACUGGGCGUAAAGCGUGCGUAGGCGGCUUCUUAAGUCGGAUGUGAAAUCCCUGAGCUUAACUUAGGAAUUGCAUUCGAUACUGGGAAGCUAGAGUAUGGGAGAGGAUGGUAGAAUUCCAGGUGUAGCGGUGAAAUGCGUAGAGAUCUGGAGGAAUACCGAUGGCGAAGGCAGCCAUCUGGCCUAAUACUGACGCUGAGGUACGAAAGCAUGGGGAGCAAACAGGAUUAGAUACCCUGGUAGUCCAUGCCGUAAACGAUGUCUACUAGCCGUUGGGGCCUUUGAGGCUUUAGUGGCGCAGCUAACGCGAUAAGUAGACCGCCUGGGGAGUACGGUCGCAAGACUA